UACAGAGGUCUCAAGCGUUGUUCGGAUUCAUUGGGCGUAAAGGGUGCGUAGGCGGCGCGGUAAGUCGGGUGUGAAAUCUUGGAGCUUAACUCCGAAACUGCAUUUGAUACUGCGGUGCUUGAGGACUGGAGAGGAGACUGGAAUUCACGGUGUAGCAGUGAAAUGCGUAGAUAUCGUGAGGAAGACCAGUGGCGAAGGCGGGGUCUCUGGACAGUUCCUGACACUGAGGCAGCGAAGGCCAGGGGAGCAAACGGG
rnacentral:rRNA from 1 species